UGUGAUAUCUCGUGUUUUUUGGACGAUCCAUGAAAAACUAAGUGAGGCUAUUAAUCUAUGCAACAUCGUGCCGAUAGCCGCAUGGGGUCACCAAGAUGAACAGCCUCUAGUCGAUAGAAUAAUGUAGAUAAGGCAAGUCGGCAAAUUUGAUCAGUAACUUCGGAAAAGGAUUGGCUCGAGUGACCGGGUCGGUUGGCUUGUUAGGUGAUGCUUGUACGGAUCUAUCCAUGACCGAUGUGAAAACGUUAUGUAUACCUGGUUACUAUAGAUUUCCAUGAAGGUUUUAUAUUCUUUUUGCCUCCUUUAGAUGAUUUAUAAAUAACUCAUCAAGUCCAUAGACAUAGCAAGUAAACGAUAAAUAAGUACACCAUCAGAUCUUGCAAUACACUGGUUAUCAAAUCUGUCUGACAUACAGGAAUCCGGCUUUUGAGCUU
rnacentral:ncRNA from 1 species